AUUGAACGCUGGCGGCAGGCCUAACACAUGCAAGUCGAACGAGUGGCGGACGGGUUAGUAAUGUCUGGGAAACUGACUGAGGGAGGGGGAUAACUACUGGAAACGGUAGCUAAUACCGCAUACCAUCCGACGUUCCCAGAAGGGAUUAGCUAGUUGGUGGGGUAACGGCUCACCAAGGCGACGAUCCCUAGCUGGUCUGAGAGGAUGACCAGCAACACUGGAACGGAGACACGGUCCAUACUCCUAAGGGAGUCAGCAGUGGGGAAUAUGGCACAAUGGGCGUAAGACUGAUGCAGUCAUGACGAGUGUAUGAAGAAGGCCUUCGGGUUGUAAAGUACUUUCCUCGGGGAGGCGUUACCCGCAGAAGAAGCACCGGCUAACUCCGUGCCAGCAGCCGCGGUAAUAC
rnacentral:rRNA from 1 species